CCUACGGGAGGCAGCAGUCGAGAAUCAUUCACAAUGGGGGAAACCCUGAUGGUGCGACGCCGCGUGGGGGAAUGAAGGUCUUCGGAUUGUAAACCCCUGUCAUGUGGGAGCAAAUUAAAAAGAUAGUACCACAAGAGGAAGAGACGGCUAACUCUGUGCCAGCAGCCGCGGUAAUACAGAGGUCUCAAGCGUUGUUCGGAAUCACUGGGCGUAAAGGGUGCGUAGGCUGUUUCGUAAGUCGUGUGUGAAAGGCGCGGGCUCAACCCGCGGACGGCACAUGAUACUGCGAGACUAGAGUAAUGGAGGGGGAACCGGAAUUCUCGGGGUAGCAGUGAAAUGCGUAGAUAUCGAGAGGAACACUCGUGGCGAAGGCGGGUUCCUGGACAUUAACUGACGCUGAGGCACGAAGGCCAGGGGAGCGAAAGGGAUUAGAUACCCCGGUAGUC
rnacentral:rRNA from 1 species